rnacentral:siRNA from 1 species
AUCCUGAUGAUGCUGCAG